CAUGCAAUAAUUGACGCCACGGUCCGCUACUCUCUUUGCAUACAUUAAGUAUCUCUCCCCACCGGUGCCCCUGCGCUCCACUAACGACGCUGUUCAGCUACAGUUUUGUCGGCAUGGAAUGGUCCGGAGAUGGCCGUGCAAGCAAUGGAAGCCAGAGUCUCCCCGCGAGAGUUGAUGGAAUGGGAGACGUGCUUGCAGGAGCCAUCGUCCCUGUUGCCGUCGACGUUGACCCCCUCCGUGUUGCAGCGAGUCACAACAACAGCGGGAAACAGAAAUGACUACAUAAGAAGGCAUGGAAUGCAACAUGCACAUUAGGGUUACUCCCUAAGUACAAGGAGAGGAAACCUCCAUCUCCAAGACGUACUGUCUUUUCUCCUCGUCAAGCGAAGCAAUCAAACCGGAAACCAAUACUCUCUUCUUCUUCUGAUUCCGAUGAUGCAUCGUCAAUCUGUCCACGUGCGCUCGGCCCCGAAGCUGGGAUCCCGUAGCCAUCGAUCCCUUCAUCAAAAAAUGCCAACCUAAAAGAAGUCAAUUUUUCAGAAGAAGCACACUCAACAUUACAUAUACGGGAUGCCUUUGCAAAAAUCCUGGUUGCAUGGUGCACUGGAGAAAACAUGAUUUCAGUAUCGAGGAUGCUAUAGGCCAUGCGCACAUACAUGGGUGUACAUGAUCGAUCGAUACAUAAAAAUCGUGCAAACCGAUGGAUGAGUUUUAGAAAUAAUGCACACAUGACCCAUGGUGGAACGGAAGUACUAUGAUAUUGAAUCAUUGAUUGAGAUGGCACUGCCCCUCGCCGCAGGAUCGCUGCAGCAGCUAGGACUAGAUUCGUCGAGUUGUUUUAUCAAACACUUCAGAGGGGAGAAGUACAUUAGAUCAAAUGCUGCUGCCCUUUAGAGUCUGCGUGACUCUGAUCAUGGGCCGCCCCCUUUGUCUGCGCGAUGACGUACAAGGGAGAACCGACAAAAAGAGAGUUGCUUUUUUUCGGGGCGCGAGCAUUUGACUUUUUCCACAGUAAAAACAUUGUUUUUUCUACCUGCUCCUCCCUGUAAAUAGUCUUGGGGCUGAAUAGGGCUUUAGGGCAUCUCUAACAUUG